CGAAGUCAAAGGAAUGGGCGGUUUUGGGAAGAACUAUGUAAAUCUAAGACUUUUGUUCUUCCCAAAAUAGCCCAUUCCUACAAAUACCGGUAGCUCCACCCUUUCCCUCUUCUCAGUUUCAUCUUCGAUCUUCACCUCCUUAGCCUCCUCUGUGUGUGACUACAACCCUAAUUAUCUUUGAUAGAAGCCAAUAGAUGUCGGCCUUUUUAUAGACUCUUCCGCCAAGAGACCCAAUGCCACCUAACCUAUGACCUACCCCAUAAAGCAAGUUAGUUGCAGAAUCAUCCUUUCAUUUUGGGUUAUUUAUUUAUAAGAACAGCAGCAACUGGGCCAGUUAGCCCGAUGCUUCCAAGUACAUUAUUUAUUUCAGCUUGAAGCAAUGCCUUCCAGGCUUCCAUUGUGUGAUGGGUCAAUAAAUGCUAUUCCUUAUCUUAAAGGGCCGUGACAAGAUUAUGGAUAUAAAAGCUAGCUAGUUGUUGCACCAUCAUCGUGUUAUGUUGCACCCAUUUUGAUAGACUUGCACCGACAACAUUAUUCAAAUCUAUUUUCCUCCUUUUAUUUUUUAUUUUAUAUUUAACUCCAGAUUUGGUUUAAGUGCAAUAAAAAAAAUUACUAUAUAUAUAUAUAGCUCUGAUGCCUAAGUUUUGGCUUUUUAUAGGAGAUCAAUCAGUAAUAGUCUAAUUGAGUAUCUUGUAUUCUAAACUCCUUAUCUGAAUGUCUCCACUUCUUUUUAUAUGUUUUUUCACCUUUAGUGGGUCUUAGACAUCUCGGAGGAUUGUCCCGAGACAUCGUGGGUGGCUUUGACAAUCCCUGAUGGUUGCCCAUGCCUGCACCUCUCCCUACAUAUUUCUGACCAUUCUAGGUUGUUGCCUUGAAACUUAUGGGAGUGGGUCUGGAUCUUUAGAGAUUCUUUAUUCCUUGGCCUUCUCGAGUAUUCAGGAUGUGAUAGGCACGUUCUCCUUGUUUUCAGGGGUUACCGUAGAGGCUUUAAUAGGCUUGGUUGGGCUUUAUAGGCCUCUAGGUCUUUUGUUGACAUCUGGGCCUUUUAACUAUUAUGACCAGCCCAAAUCCCUAACAGUUACCCCCCAAUUCUCUAGUCUGAUGCCUUGGCUAGGGUUAUGGGAAAUAAUACCUUUGAGGUUUGGCGUUGAAUUCAAGAUGAAACCCUUCUGAACUUCACCGGGGCACGUUGCGUUUUGUUUUGUGGUGCGUAUAACCUGCACACCUUUUGAGGUGUUAUCCCUUCAUAUACUGGGCGAGGAAUCCUAUAGGGAGAUCGUCCUUUCGGAUUCCUCGGCUUAUGUGGCACUUCAUGGGGUCUAGGUGCAUUUAUGGUUUGCACGCUUUUUGAUGUGGCCCAUCCUUUAAGUAUUUGUCUUCUUCUUCGUUUGUCCUCUGAUUGCUAUCUUUCUCGUUGUGUUCUUUGUUUCUCAUUCGAACUCAAUUCCUUUUUUUUUUUUUUUGCUUGUAAGCCUUAGCUAUACUGGUGUUGUACAAAUAUUCACCUAAAUAAAUAGACAAAUAAAUACACGUUUUACUUGCAAGUGCACAAAAUCAAAACGAUACUAUAGACGACAAAUACAAGAUCAUUCUCAUGAGGAUUGGUAAAAUAUAUUUUAAAAGAAAUUUCUAAAAAGAAAUUUUGAAUGCAAUGAUAUAGAAGAUUAAAUUGAAAUAAUAAGAGAAUAAGGUA
rnacentral:precursor_RNA from 1 species